rnacentral:rRNA from 1 species
GACGAACGCUGGCGGCGUGCCUAAUACAUGCAAGUUGAGCGCUGAAGGUUGGUACUUGUACCAACUGGAUGAGCAGCGAACGGGUGAGUAACGCGUGGGGAAUCUGCCUUUGAGCGGGGGACAACAUUUGGAAACGAAUGCUAAUACCGCAUAAAAACUUUAAACACAAGUUUUAAGUUUGAAAGAUGCAAUUGCAUCACUCAAAGAUGAUCCCGCGUUGUAUUAGCUAGUUGGUGAGGUAAAGGCUCACCAAGGCGAUGAUACAUAGCCGACCUGAGAGGGUGAUCGGCCACAUUGGGACUGAGACACGGCCCAAACUCCUACGGGAGGCAGCAGGAGGGAAUCUUCGGCAAUGGACGAAAGUCUGACCGAGCAACGCCGCGUGAGUGAAGAAGGUUGUCGGAUCGUAAAACUCUGUUGGUAGAGAAGAACGUUGGUGAGAGUGGAAAGCUCAUCAAGUGACGGUAACUACCCAGAAAGGGACGGCUAACUACGUG